UACGUAGGGUGCAAGCGUUGUCCGGAAUUAUUGGGCGUAAAGGGCUCGUAGGCGGUCCAUCACGUCGGGAGUGAAAAGCUGGGGCUUAACCCCAGUCCUGCUUCCGAUACGGGUGGACUAGAGGUAGGCAGGGGAGAACGGAAUUCCUGGUGUAGCGGUGAAAUGCGCAGAUAUCAGGAGGAACACCGGUGGCGAAGGCGGUUCUCCUGGGCCUUACCUGACGCUGAGGAGCGAAAGCGUGGGGAGCAAACAGG
rnacentral:rRNA from 1 species